GGGAUUACAGUCAAGAGCCACUGCACCCAGCCCCCUCACUGUUGCAUGAAUGGAUGAAUGAGUUGAUUAUGAACCGUUUUGCUUAGGGGGACAUUUCUGGCUUUUCCUCCCAUGUGAAGUCAGAUGGACCAGAGGUGGAAAUGAUCCCACUGAGAAACCUCUUUGCUUCUAAAGGGACCUCUCAAGGGUCUCCUCCUGCUUGUCUUCGGCAACAGGCAAGGCCAAAGACCCUUCCUCCCAUCUGCAGCCACCAGUUCCUGCUUUGUGACUUGUGCAGUAGGAGUUUUGCA